UUAAAAACCCCCGCAAGGUACACUGGCCUUUUAAGAGCUCAGGUCCAUGGGCACUGGCCCUUUAAGUGCCCGGCGCAAGGCGCGGCCCCUAUAAGAGCGCGUCCCCGUAUGUUCGGCUCUUUAACAGCCCCCUCACCUCAGGGUGCCACCGCAGCGCGCACGCGUGUGCCCCCCCACCCCAGUGUCCUCAACAGGAUCGGCCGCUCCGGCCCGGCGCAGGUGGGAGGGUCUAUGAUUUCAGCCAGCCAGCAGUAAGAUGGGGAAAGCACUUGACCCUCCACAUGCAUCGGCUGCCGGUGACCUUGGUGCCGAAUUAGGAAGUCCCAGCCUUGCCAGCUGCAUCCACGUUGAGACAAGUAUUUUCUACUUUCACCUGUUCACAUAACUAAAGGAAAGGAGUUAAAUGUACAUUCUUGCCUUUCUCUGGAAAGUUUUGCUCUGUUGCAGGUAGCUCCCAGAGCUCUGUCUCUAAAGCCCAUUUCUGCUUGUUUAAUUACAUUCAUGCUAUCUUUGAAAGGGAAAUUUCUGCUCAAAAGAGCUCAUGGAGGCCAUCAGAGAUUCUCUCAGCCACCCUGUGGGAUCUGCUCUCCCUAUAUUGCUCCUGAUGGAUUUUUCUGAGCCUGGGUUAGCUAAACAGUGAUGAUAUUUCCAUGCCAUUUCCAGCAGCCUGUUGUGAAUCACCUUCUCACUUCUGAGCAGAUCCUUCACUGUCACCCAGCAACAAAAAGUUCUUCCCCAGAAGAGGACAGGAGUCCCUGCAAACAGCAGAGCAGUGUCCAGCUCUAGCACUGUGGGCAAUCCCAAGAAGAGGGCUUCCUACUGCAAAAAGAAACUGCCAGGCAAUUCCUUGGGUGCCAAAUGGAUUCCAAACAUAUUGUCUACCUGCAGAAUGUACACUUCUGGAUGUUUUCGUUUGUAGCAUUUUGAGAUGAUGGCUUUGCGUUCCACUGACUGAUGAAUUAACUGUUUUCUUCUCUGCACUUCUGUCUCAAUCUACAAGUAAACAACAGAGCAUAUUGUUAGGAAAUCAAAAGGAAUAACUAAAACAAUUCCAGGAAUAUGGUCAUUGUUUUAAACCAUUUUUGUUGUUGUUGUUCUGGGCACCUCUAAGUGAUGGAGUGUAUGCCUUUGCUUUUUGUAGUCAAGACAAGUCCAAUAAAUAUCUGAAAAGACAAAUGCCUAAGAGGGAUUUGAGACACGUUCCCAUUAUGGAUGGCUUAAAAAAUAACUGAAGCCUUUCCAUGGAUGUGUCAAGUGGAGCUGUGAGGUUUCAGCCCUUUCAGGCAUUCUGACGCCUCAUGAAUCGCCAGCCUACACUUUAAGAGUCUGGCUUAUGUUCUGACAAUAUAAACAUUGUCCAAAAUAAAGACACUUGCUGGGAGGGAGACAGGACUUGUCAUGAAGGGAUUACUGCUAAGUGUUGUGACGACAGGCUAAUCUAUCAUUUCAGAAGAAAUAGCUGUAGUAGCAGCUGAUUCAGGCAGCUCUUCCUAUUUAAUAACCUCCAUGAGAUUAGUUUAUAACAUUCCUUAGCGAAAAAAGGAAGGAGGUCGUGACCGGUACCUCCUGCUCCCGAUCCCUGGUAAUAUGGUUAGCAUAACUAAUGCCAUUUUAUAAGGCAAGCAGCCACUCUCUGUGACCAAGUGGAUCAUGUAUUCAUUUCUUUUCUGUCAAUAUCAGGCCCUGAAGGUCCUGUGAACCACAGAGACAAAACAGAGAUUUCUUCUUCCCCUACGUCUAGAUUAUGUCUGUUAGUCUAGUUUAUGAUUGUUAUAUUAAUACAGCAAACUAUGUAUUAAGAUCUGACCUGAUCUGCAGAGGGUCCAGGUGAUUAGAAAUUAUAAGUUAAAUCAGGAAUUAGAAAUCCUAAGUUAAGUUGUAUUAUAAAUUCCAUAUUAUGCUGCUUAUUGUGCUACAUUGAUUCUGCUUGUAGAAAUCCUUUGCCAUUCUGAUCAUAAAUUCUGUGCUAUAUUAAUCAUAAUAUCCUGUUAAGAAAAUAAA